CAAGAUCACACACCAUAUUCGCAGGAAUGUGUUUUCACAGCUAACUCAGAAACAGCUUGGCUUGUGGUAACAAGCUCACUGCUUGAUUGCAUCACAUCCGAGGGAGAGAACGAGAGGGUGUGUGUUUUUUUCUUAGGAAGGUGAAUCAGGUCUGAAAGAGGAAGCAGGAUGUCAUGAAGGCGUCACUAUGCACUGAGUCUGGCUCACUGUCUAGUGCUUCCAUCGAGGAUGAAUCCUACACUAUUCCUGCUUCUGGUAUUGACAGCUAGCUGGACUGGACCUGUUCAAUGUGAAGACAAUGAAGAGACAGAGACUGAAGGCUUGUUAGAUGUCAAAGCAGAGGGUGAAGAAGAAAACCCAGAUAAUCAUGGGGACGGCUCUGGAGAUGGCAGGCGCUCGAGUUUCUUGGAUGUAGUCUCCACACCAAGCAGUGACUCAGUUAAUAAUCAGGAAUCAGAGCCGACUACAGAGAAAGAGAAAGAGACAAAUACAGACGCAGACGCAGAGCCAAAGACAGUGACAGACGCAGACAUUGAGGAUCUCAACCCAGUAAUCAUGAUCAUCAUUCCUCUGGUUCUCACACUCGUCAUCAUCACUGUGAUCGUGUGUGUAGUCAUCAUCUACCGCAGGAGGAGAAUAAGAGCUGAAACUAAAGAAGAUCCUUAUCUGGAUCAUGAAGACCACGAAAAAGUGCCAAUGCCCAUGUUUGAUGAUGACAUCCCAUCAGUAAUGGAGCUGGAAAUGGAAGAUCUAGAAAACUGGAUGGCCAAAGAUGGAGGCAAGAAAGUGGACACUGGCCAAAUAUAAUGAAUAGAAUUUAAAUAACCAGGAAGAAGGAGCAAAAAGACACUACAUUUGCUUUUGUAGUUUUUGCACAUCCCAACAUCAAUGACAUUCUGCUUCCAGUAGAAAUAGUUAUUAGUCUAAAAAAAACUAUUAUCUAGACCUUACAGUCCACUUAAGUAAUAAUAGUGUCUCAGUCCAUAUUGAGACUGUUUAUGGAACGCAAUCAGUGUGAAUAAUAAUAAUAAUAAUAAUAAUAAUGUACCAUUCAAAGGUUUGAGGUUUGAGUCUCUUCUGCUCACAAAAGCUGCAUUCAUUUAAUAAAAAAUACAGAACAAAAUGUAAUAUCGUGAAAAAAUAUUCCACUUCCAAACAGCUGUUUUCUGUGUGAAUAUCUAUUAAAGUUUAAUUUAUUUCAGUGAUGUGCAGCUGUAUUUCCAGCAUCAUUCCUCCAGUCUUCAGUGUCACAUGAUCUUUUAAUAAACUGAUUUGCUGCUCAAGGAAUAUAUUUCUGAUUAUUGUAAUAAUAAAACACAUAAAUAACAUGGCACACUCUUGUCAAGUGCCUAGAUUGUCAAAUAGACGUGAAGUGGACCUCUGACAGAUUAAUAAACAGCAGUAUUGUCUGUUGACCUGCACAUCAUCAUCAGCACGGCUCUUACACAAACACCGACCACAUGCACUUGCUUACUAACACAGACACAAACACAGACUGUGUCAUUCUGUCGAGGCUGUGUCUGCUGACUUCUGACCCGCCGGGACAUCUGGUGUUGAUUACAGCAGGCGUGUGUGGACGAGGAGGGACUCUUGUGUGCUCUCCGUCUCGCUCUCGCUGGGAACAGAGUCCAUGAGCCAGGAAUGCAAACUUACGUCACGCAGACCGUGUUUUUCCCAGGAUCGAGCGCUUUAGGGGAGCAGCAGGCUACACAAAGGCUAGGUGAUGUCAGGAAUGACAAAUGAAGGUUUAUGUAAACAUAAACGGAGAGUAUCUGAAGCCACAUCAGCACGGGAGUAAGAGCAUGACUUAAACCAAUCUGGAAAUGGAUUCUUUGCAGUUGUUGUUGGAAUAUAACAGCACUGGUGAAGACUGAUAUAAUAUACAAACACACAAAGGUUUAUAGAUUACUCCACAAAUGUCUACAGUAAACUCUAAAAAUAAUUCUAAACAGCACAAUGAAAAAUAACCACGCUCUCUUAAUAAAAUGAUCGUUUGAGUUGGACAUUACAGAAUAAAUUCCUUAAAAUCCAACAGGUAAUUUUGUCAAAAAUGUACAUGCAUACAUAAAUAAAUAAGGUAUCUGACAUUACUAUACACCAGAUUUUUGUUCAAUUUCAAUACAAAUAUUUAUUAUACAAGAACUACAGCUAUUACAUCGAUAUUCUUCGUCUUUAACAACAAUUUUAGAGAUCGACUACAUUCACCAAACAGUUUAAAUUAAUUUAAUAAAUAUUAUGAAAUAUUAUGAAAGCAAAUUGUACUUAAUAUAAAAAGCAUUAAUCUGAGUUUCAGCAGAUUUCAAGUUUUAAGCAUGCUUUGCGUCAAAAUCUAAAAGGAGAAUAAAUAUUGAAAUGAAGUGUAAUUUAAAUGAAUCUGUGUUUCUCUCA